GUCAGGUGGCGCAAUGGGUCAGUGCAUCUGGCUGCUAACCAGAAGGUUGGUGGUUCAAGCCCACCCAGGGACA
rnacentral:tRNA from 1 species